AUUGAACGCUGGCGGCAGGCCUAACACAUGCAAGUCGAGCGGAUGAAGGGAGCUUGCUCCUGGAUUCAGCGGCGGACGGGUGAGUAAUGCCUAGGAAUCUGCCUGGUAGUGGGGGAUAACGUCCGGAAACGGGCGCUAAUACCGCAUACGUCCUGAGGGAGAAAGUGGGGGAUCUUCGGACCUCACGCUAUCAGAUGAGCCUAGGUCGGAUUAGCUAGUUGGUGGGGUAAAGGCCUACCAAGGCGACGAUCCGUAACUGGUCUGAGAGGAUGAUCAGUCACACUGGAACUGAGACACGGUCCAGACUCCUACGGGAGGCAGCAGUGGGGAAUAUUGGACAAUGGGCGAAAGCCUGAUCCAGCCAUGCCGCGUGUGUGAAGAAGGUCUUCGGAUUGUAAAGCACUUUAAGUUGGGAGGAAGGGCAGUAAGUUAAUACCUUGUUGUUUUGACGGUACCAACAGAAUAAGCACCGGCUAACUUCGUG
rnacentral:rRNA from 1 species